rnacentral:lncRNA from 1 species
AUGUGCCCGACCCUUCUCCAGUAAGGUGAGGCAAGUGAAAAAACGGCAAAAGGCUCAAAGGCUCAUCAGCUCGUGGGGGUGCCGGCAGCCCUGCCCCGAAAGACCCAGUGGUCUAAAUAGAUGUCUCAGCUGUCCCGAAACUGAAAAGGACCCAGCGGUCCGAAACUGCACUGCUCCUGGAGCAGGAUGCCAAACCUGACCCAUGGGAAAUUUAAGGAAGUUGAACAAAAGCAACCCUUCUGCAUAUAUUUUUAUAGAAAAGCAACAACAGAGCCGGGUGGUGGUGGCACAUGCCUUUAAUCCCAGCACUUCUUGGGCAGAGGCAAGAAGAUCUUUGUGAGUUCAAGGGCAGCCUGGCCUAUAGGGAGUCUCAGGCCAACUAGAGUAUGGCGGGAAACCCUGUCUCAAAAACAAACAAAAAGAGUUUGAGGAAGAAAGACCACCUCAGACCAUCCGUGUACCUGUCGUUUCUUUUCAAGACCAUCCCAUUGCCCUUGACCUGUGUACUGAAAACUGGUGGAAAGCCAUCUUCAGCUUUGUCUACUGGGUCCUCAGGCCUGAGGCUGUAACACCGAGGCAGGGGCUUGCCUUGGGCAUAGGAGCCCUGGGGUUCAACCUCCAACACCAUAACCACACACACAAAAAAAGAUUGUUUUCUUCCAUCGACUAUCCAUAAACCAUUUCUGGUUCAACUUUCUCUCCUCCUGUCAAGCAAUAAUCAGAACCAGAAUGUUUUAGACAGCGUCUGAUGAACAUGUAGCAUGCCUUCGAGUUCCUUACCAGCUCAGAAUAAUGAAGAAAAGGAGUCCUCAAAUACUGUGAAUUGAACUGGAGGACACAGAAGAAUAAAACCUUAGAGGACGGGCCUGGCUGGUGGCGGCUCACUCCUGAAGAAGAUAUGCGUAGCCAGCCAUGGUACUCGGACCUCCAGAGCCCCCUGCCCUUAUUGCUUCUCCUACACUAGAGCUAGUGGGAUACAGUGCAAGACACUUGUGUGUGACUGCUCUUUCUUAAGCUGCAGUUCUGUGUUGGCUGGUUUUAUGUCAAUGAGAUACAAGCUGGAGUCAUUUGGAAAGACGGAAUUUCAACUGAGAAAAAGCCAGACUGGUCUAAGGGCAAGCCUGUGGUGCAUUUUUUUUUUUUUUUUGAUUGGUGAUUGUUGUGGGCAGAACCACCUCUGGACUGGUGGUCCCUGGUGCUAUAAGAAAGCAGGCUGGGAUGGGGGGAG